GUUUUCUGUCCUGAUGUCUUCCUGGCAGCUGCAAACCAAACUGCUCCUUGAAGAGAAGAAAGAAACUUUGAACCUUGAAGCUUCCAGGAACUCCACUGCUGCUCCUGCUGCUGCCCCGCCCUCCUACCUGUCCCACCUCCAUCACAGCUGAAGCUCCGCCUCCUUCCAGGUAGCAGCUCACCUGUGUCUCAGUGCUUCACAUCUUGUUCUUCAGCACUUUGGAGCGUCUGAACAAACUCACAAAGUUUCAUCUCUGCUGUCUGAAGACUAAUCUACAGGAUUAUUAGAUUAUUGAUGAACUGGAACCAAACAACAUGAUGAACAGCUGAUGUUCAGAUGUGAUGUUUAGAUGAGCAGAACUCUGUCGACCCAAUCAGAGCUUCACGGCUCCAGAUGAUCCGUCUAAAAUCUAAAUAUCUGGGAGCUUAAAGACAGGAACGUCCUUCAUGUCCAAUAAAGCCCGGACUUCACUGUGGCUCCACUUCUCUGGCUCUGGCUCCAUUUUGGUAAAUGUGAAGGUAGAAAGUGUGUGUGAGCUGAUGUGGAUGUGAAUUCAGCAGCAUG